rnacentral:rRNA from 1 species
AUGAACGCUGGCGGCGUGCCUAAUACAUGCAAGUCGCGCGAACGGACGAGAAGCUUGCUUCUCUGAUGUUAGCGGCGGAUGGGUGAGUAACACGUGGAUAACCUACCUAUAAGACUGGGAUAACUUCGGGAAACCGUAGCUAAUACCGGAUAAUAUUUUGAACCGCAUGGUUCAAAAGUGAAAGACGGUCUUGCUGUCACUUAUAGAUGGAUCCGCGCUGCAUUAGCUAGUUGGUAAGGUAACGGCUUACCAAGGCAACGAUGCAUAGCCGACCUGAGAGGGUGAUCGGCCACACUGGAACUGAGACACGGUCCAGACUCCUACGGGAGGCAGCAGUAGGGAAUCUUCCGCAAUGGGCGAAAGCCUGACGGAGCAACGCCGCGUGAGUGAUGAAGGUCUUCGGAUCGUAAAACUCUGUUAUUAGGGAAGAACAUAUGUGUAAGUAACUGUGCACAUCUUGACGGUACCUAAUCAGAAAGCCACGGCUAACUACGUG